CACGUAGGCACCAAGCGUUGUCCGGAUUUAUUGGGCGUAAAGAGCUCGUAGGCGGUUCAGUAAGUCGGGUGUGAAAACUUUGGGCUUAACCCAAAGCGUGCAUCCGAUACUGCUGUGACUUGAGUUCGGUAGGGGAGCAGGGAAUUCCCGGUGUAGUGGUGGAAUGCGUAGAUAUUGGGAAGAACACCGGUGGCGAAGGCAGCUCGCUGGGACGUUACUGACGCUGAGACGCGAAAGCGUGGGGAGCAAACAGG
rnacentral:rRNA from 1 species